GUUUGUGGUGAAUGCAUCAGUGGGAGGAAGAAAGGCAUGAAAUGAAGAAUCAACAUGAUUGUGGUGCCUGGAGCCAGAGAGUUAGCUGCUGGUUCCAGCUCUGGUAUUAACUGAGGGUGUGAUCUGAGUGGUUGGCAAUAACGGAUGUGGCUAGAAAUGGCCAGCUCUAAUCUCCUAACUGCAUCUAUAACAGCAGACCCUGUAGGCAAGCAAAAUGUGGGGCAGGACUUCCUACGGGCCUCCUUGAGAUGGUAUGCAUUUCAAAGCAGCAGUUGUGUAACUUUUAUGGCUACAAUCUUAGUACCCCCAGAGGAGAAAGCUGAAGCACCAGAUGGUUAAAAGGACUGUUCAAGACAGCCCUGCAAUUUUGACCAAGGAAGAAAGCUGAAGGGUGCUAGGGCAAGAGAGGAACUAUGUCCAGGACAAUUCAUAAUUCCAAAUUCUCACUUCCAUGAUUUCAAUGCUGAAUGUGUACUUCUCUAGCUAAAAAUACAAUUGCUUAAGUAAAAUCAUCAUUAUUUAC